GUCUAAAAUGUUGGUAGGUUACAAUUGUCGUAAUCUUAUAUUUAAUUUGUUUCUUUCAUUAUAUUGAGUGUUUCACUGAUAUUUCUAUAUUCUUUACAUUUCAUUUUAGAAAAUUUACAAUAAUAUUGUUCCCCUUGGUAAUUAGUUGUUAAUAUACUUAUCGUGUAAAGUAUAGUUAAAUUGGGUCCAUAGCUCAGUGGUAGAGCAAUUGACUGCAGAUCAAUAGGUCACCGGUUCGAACCCGGUUUGGCCCUACUUUUAUCAUUAAUUCUAAAAUAAUUUCGUUUUAGUUUCCACAUAAAUACCACCAACUAACACGACUCCUGUAGAAUUGAGAGUAUGGCUGAGGCACAUGUUGACAUCACUCACUGAAUUACCCACAUGUUUCCACAUAAAUACCACCAACUAACACGACUCCUGUAGAAUUGAGAGUAUGGCUGAGGCACAUGCUGACAUCACUCACUGAAUUACCCAUAUGUUUCUGAAAACUCUUACUUACUACCGGCUACCUUUAUUUGUUAGUUCACUUGUUCAGUGUCUUCUAUCGGCUUGCUCAUCUUGAGCUAAAUUCAUGUGCUCAAGGUUGAUGGGAUCUCUCCAGCACAGAUGCUCCAAAAUUUCAGAUUUCUCGUGUGUUGUUUGUGUUACAAAAAAAAAUUACAAAGUUUAAUAGAUGCAAAACAAACCCCAAGAUCUACUUUGUUUGUCUAAUACAUUACUAGGACAUGUAGCAGUGCUGACUUUGCAUUUUUACUAAUGUAGGUGUUUCUGGAAUUUUUGAAAGUAUAAGCUUUCUCCUGUGGUCUAAAGACUCAAGGCAAUGAUGUUCUUUGGUGUGAUAUAUGACGGGGAAGGUUUUGGUCAAGUGUGCUGACUUCUCCAAUCAAAGAACCUAGACGUACACGCAUGUAAGUAAAUCUGUAAAUAUCACGGUUCGUAGCUGUUAGAUGAAGACCACCGAUCCAAAUGAAAUUUCAGGUACCAAUGUUCACAGCGUCUGAUUCAACGUGUAUGGUUUCUUAAGAGUGGAUAUAGCACGGUCGAGUGGGUUCGGUUACUUUCAUACAUAACCAAAGUUGGUUACUGCGAAAAUCAAAUGUUGAAAGUUACACUUUUUCAUUUACAGGAAACCAAUUUGGAUGUUCGUUUUGGUAAAAAGGAUGUUUUGUAUUGCUCAGCUAAAUAUAUGUUGGGUGCCAAUAUUAGUUUUACAUUCCAGUGGGUCUAUGUACUUUUAUUUGGUGUAGCAUUAAAAAUUAGUAAUUUCAGGUUGUCAAUUAAUUUGGAAUCUAUAUAGUAUAUACACAUUUCUCUAAAUACAUCAUUUUUCUUAAAAUGACGAGGCAAGAGAAGGACAUAAUGGUCAAAAUAAAAUGAUGUCAUUUUCAGUAGUGAUUGUAUUUAAGAUCUGAUGAAGCAUAUACUUGAUCAAAAAAAAAAAAAAAAAAUUCUGACACGUCAAAGUACAAACCAUGUUUAUUUUGGAUUUUCCAAAACACAGUCAAUCCAAAAUCUGGGGGUUUGAUUGUUGUAUUUUAAUAUUCGAAAACUCAAACUAAAUCUAUUGUUAUUGGUUCUAUGAUUUUUAAAUCUGUAUUAAAAUCAUGUGUUAUUGGUUUAAUGAUUCAUAAAUUCUUUAUCAAAUCAAGUGUGAUUCAAUCGUACGGAUUUACUAAUAUAUUUGAUUUUAUAAUGGAUUUGAAUGGAUUUUUUAGUUAAAAAUACAAAGGAGAUGUUAUUAUUUAUGCUUGAAAUGAUGUAUUUAUAUAAAAGAUGAUCUGAUCUAAUCGGAUUUUGAAGGUUUAGAAAUCUUAUAUGCUUAAUAUUAUGGAAACAAAAUUAAUGAUAUUCGAAAUUCUGUUACCAUAUAGGAGAAUCGUAUCCCCUAUAUAUUAAUUGAGAAACAUUUGAAAAGAUGUAACCUCAAUUUUGUAUUAAUUAAAAUAGGCUCCAAUG